rnacentral:rRNA from 1 species
UACGGAGGGUGCGAGCGUUGUCCGGAAUCAUUGGGCGUAAAGGGCGCGUAGGUGGCCCGGUCAGUUCGUGGUGAAAGCGCGGGGCUCAACCCUGCGUCGGCCAUGAAUACUGCCGCGGCUGGAGCACUGUAGAGGCAGGCGGAAUUCCGGGUGUAGCGGUGGAAUGCGUAGAGAUCCGGAAGAACACCGGCGGCGAAGGCGGCUGCCUGGACCCGGCCCUGACGCUGAGGCGCGAAAGCUAGGGGGAGCAAACAGG